AAGCGAAGGGUGGUCUUUGAGUCUCUUUUUCCAUGCCAGUCGCCCAUACACAUCUAUUCUAACAGCAGGUCCUGUUGACUCUGCCUUCAGAAUAGUCAGGACUAUGAUGGAAUGCUAUUUAGUCUUGAAAUGCGAUUUAGUCAGAGCUGUCCACAGCUCUCCCGUCCACUGCUAACCUGGUCCAAGUUGCUUUGCCCCCUCUGAACAUUGACCUGCUUGCUCUCUGGCCUCCUGCACCCAGUUCCUUCUGCAGAUCACAGCCAGAGGGAUUUUUUUUUUCUUUUUUCUUAAUGGUAAAAUUUACAUAGCAUGAAACUUGCUUUAUUGACCCAUUUUUUUAUUGUACCUUUUGGUGGCAUUUAAGUACAUUUAGAUUGUUAUACAAAACCAUCCACCUCCAGAACUUCUUUAUUUUGCAAAAUUGAAUCUGCAUCCAUUAAACAAUAGCUUUCUAUUCACUCUCCCCAGCCUCUGGCACCCACCAUCCAUUUUUGUUAUUGUUGGACUGGGAAUUGAGCCCAGGGCCUCACACAUGGGAGGUAAGUGCUCUGCUACUGAGUACACCCCCAGCCCCUAACAUCAUCAUCAUCAUAUUGUUUGUGUUGAGGUUGGAAUUCAGGAACUCAUGUAUGCCUAGGCAAGUGGUCUACUGCUGAGCACUUGCUUAAGCCCCACCAUCCUACUCUGUCUCUGUGGAUCUGACUAUUCUAGGUACCUUAUAUAAGUGAAAUCAUGAACUUUUGGUACUUUUGUGGCUGGCUUAUUUCACUGAGCACAGUGUCCUCCAGGUUAGUUUAUGUAGCAUGUGUCAGGAUUUCCUUCCUUUUCAAGACUAAAUAGCAUUCCAUCAUAUAGACAUAUAACAUUUUGUUGCUCUGUUUUAGUUUUUUGUUUCCACUCCUAUGGGAAGUGGGGCUCUGCCGUGUUUGCAG
rnacentral:lncRNA from 1 species